rnacentral:rRNA from 1 species
AUUGAACGCUGGCGGCAGGCCUAACACAUGCAAGUCGAACGAGUGGCGGACGGGUGAGUAAUGUCUGGGAAACUGCCUGAUGGAGGGGGAUAACUACUGGACCCGGUAGCUACUACCGCAUACCAUCAGAUGUGCCCAGAUGGGUUUAGCUAGUUGGUGGGGUAACGGCUAACCAAGCCGACGAUCCCUAGCUGGUCUGGGAGGAUGACAAGCCACACUGGAACGGAGACACGGUCCAGACUCCUACGGGAGGCAGAAGUGGGGAAUAGUGCACAAUGGGCGAAAGCCGGAUGCAGCCAUGCCGCGUGUAGGAAGAAGGCCUUCGGGUUGUAAAGUACUUUCAGCGGGGAGGCGUUACCCGCAGAAUAAGCACCGUCUAACUCCGUGCCAGCAGCCGCGGUAAUUC